CCGUCUGCAGAAUUUAAGUUCAAACAGCAUAGGUGUUGUGUGAUAUUGGCAGAAAAUGAUUUCAACGCUAUAGUUUACAAGUUUGGUGAAUUCAAGUGACACCGAAAGUGAAAAGUGGCAUCUUAAUUAUCGUGAAAACUUAUCCCAUUACAAAAAUUAAAAAAAGUGGUUUCCGGUGGUCAAAUCGAGUUGAGAAUUUUUCAGAAAAUGGAAGAGUUUAGACAUCAGAAAAAAAGAAAAUAUUGUGCGAAAAAGCCACAUGAGUUCAUAGAGGAAGAUAAAAGAAAGCUUAAAUUAUCUGCAAUGACAGAUGAAGAAAUCGAGCAAUUGAUGAACUCCACUCUUUUGUCUGAUGAAGAAUCUGAGUAGGAAGACGAUGACAACAGUAUAGCUGACCCAGAGUAUGUUGUUGAUCAGAUAUCACCUGAGGAAGAUCAAACCAUAGACGACGUUUUAUGUGAAAUGAACAACAGCGUUGUAGGCAACGAAGUUGGGUUGUCGUUGAAUUUUAGCACACUUAGUGUGUGUUAUACAUCCAUAACUAGUACAGACAACAUUCGCCGCUAUCGACAACCGAAUCGACUGGCCCAAAAGUAAUACCAUCAUCAGGAGGAUUUCCAGGCUCAAGCUUGGAUGCCAUUGACAAGAGUUCGAUUGAGUUNUCAAAUAUCUUAUAGCGAGAAAGAUCUAUGAAAAUGCAUGUGAAUGAAAUUGCGUUCCGUGGAACGUGGGUUACCGUAUGCCGUCAGAAAGCUUAAGAACCCCAUUGAGUUUUUAAAUUAUUUUUUGACUGAUGAACUCAUAGCCGUAAUUAUUGAAGAAACCAACCGAGCAGCGCGGUCAAUAGACAUAAAUACCCAGCUCAUAACUAAUUCUUCACAGAUUCGAAAAUAUCUCGGCGUUUUGAUGUUUAUGUCUAUUUUUCGCUAUUCAAAUAUAGAAGUGCACUGGAGUGAAUUUGGAUUUAGACACGUACCAAAUGCUUUGCCUUGGAAGAAAUUUGUUGCAGUUAAAAAGCAUUUGUCUUUUUCUGAUAAGAGUAAGCGCAUCAAAAGAGGUGAGCCAGGGUAUGAUCCAUUAUUUCGAAUUAGGAAAAUUGUUGAUUUUUUGAAUGAACGCUUCAAUUCCGUUCCUAAACAAGCUCGUUUAUAUAUUGAUGAACAGAUGUGUAAAACAAAGGCCGUGUACCAUUUGCGGCAAUAUAUGACAAACAGGCGCAAUAAAUGGGGUUUAAAGCUUUUCGUGCUGUGCGACAGCAAUGGAUAUGCAUACCAGUUUGAGGAAUCAUAUUCUAUACUUUGACAAUUUUUACUCAUCACUGCCCCUACUGGUACCAUUCGAGCCAACAGAAUAUCAAACAUUAAGCUACCAUCCGGUUCAGAUACUGAGCUGAGAAAAGUGGAUAGAGGUUUCGCAGUUGAGUUUUCUGCUACUGCGUAAGGAGUUGACUUGACUACGGCUCUCUGGAAAGACACCAAAAAUGUUCGUCUAUGCUCAACUUAUGUAGGUGUCGAACCAUUUGCAAAAGCGAAUGCUGCUAUCCAGCCAUCGAAAAUUCAUAGAUGUAAUAGAAAAAAGAGAGAAACAUUGAAAUAGAUUGCCCACAAAUCAUUCGUGAGUACAACUCUGACAUGGAUGGUGUAGAUCUCAUGGAUUCAUUUAUGGGCAGACGGCUUGCAUAUAUAAACCAUUAAUACAAUGACUCGCAUNUUCUAUCAUUUACUAGACAUGACUGUUACCAGUGCUUUCAUUCUGUACCGUCGAAACAAAUCAUCGCUUGUAGAGGAAGGAAGAAACGGAAAAGAUUUGACUCUAUACCAGUUUCGUUUACAAUUAGCAAAAUCGCUGUGUGCUUCCACCGACAAACCAACGGUUGGACGUCCAUCAAGCGGAUCGCAGUUAUUUCUUAGCAAUAUCACUAUUGGUAAACGAGCAGUGCACCCCGUAGAAGAAAUGAGGUAUGAUCAGCUCAACCAUCUUCCAGAAUGGGGUUCAAAGAAGUCGUGUAAACUUUGUAAGAAAUCUGAUACACACACUUUUUGUACAAAAUGUAAGCUACAUUUAUGUUUUUCAAGUACGGAAAACUGUUUCAAAGACUAUCAUUUGAAUGAAAAUUAAAAACAACACAACUUAA
rnacentral:lncRNA from 1 species